rnacentral:rRNA from 1 species
GACGAACGCUGGCGGCGUGCUUAACACAUGCAAGUCGAACGGAAAGGCCCUGCUUUUGUGGUGCUCGAGUGGCGAACGGGUGAGUAACACGUGAGUAACCUGCCCUUGACUUUGGGAUAACUUCAGGAAACUGGGGCUAAUACCGGAUAGGAGCUCCUGCUGCAUGGUGGGGGUUGGAAAGUUUCGGCGGUUGGGGAUGGACUCGCGGCUUAUCAGCUUGUUGGUGGGGUAGUGGCUUACCAAGGCUUUGACGGGUAGCCGGCCUGAGAGGGUGACCGGCCACAUUGGGACUGAGAUACGGCCCAGACUCCUACGGGAGGCAGCAGUGGGGAAUAUUGCACAAUGGGCGGAAGCCUGAUGCAGCAACGCCGCGUGCGGGAUGACGGCCUUCGGGUUGUAAACCGCUUUCGCCUGUGACGAAGCGUGAGUGACGGUAAUGGGUAAAGAAGCACCGGCUAACUACGUG